GUGGGGAAUAUUGGACAAUGGGGGCAACCCUGAUCCAGCCAUCCCGCGUGUGCGAUGAAGGCCUUCGGGUUGUAAAGCACUUUUGGCAGGGAAGAAAAGUUUCGGGCUAAUACCCUGGAGCGAUGACGGUACCUGCAGAAUAAGCACCGGCUAACUACGUGCCAGCAGCCGCGGUAAUACGUAGGGUGCAAGCGUUAAUCGGAAUUACUGGGCGUAAAGCGUGCGCAGGCGGUUCGGAAAGAAAGAUGUGAAAUCCCAGGGCUUAACCUUGGAACUGCAUUUUUAACUGUCGAACUCGAGUAUGUCAGAGGGGGGUAGAAUUCCACGUGUAGCAGUGAAAUGCGUAGAGAUGUGGAGGAAUACCGAUGGCGAAGGCAGCCCCCUGGGAUAAUACUGACGCUCAUGCACGAAAGCGUGGGGAGCAAACAGGAUUAGAUACCCGAGUAGUCC
rnacentral:rRNA from 1 species